rnacentral:lncRNA from 1 species
GAUGAGGAUGAAGAUGUCAAUCUCUUUUUUUUUUUCACGAAGAUGUCAAUCUCUUAACCUAGUCAAUGUGUACAUCAUUAAAUCAGAACACAUACUUGGCAUGAAACCUUAUCCAAUCAGUUAUUUUCCUUGGACAACUAAAGUGGCUAUUAUAAAACAAAAUAUAAAAGACAACUAAAGUGGCCUUUAAAUUGAUAUUUUUAUAAUUUUAAACAAGUGGAAAAAUAAUGUAAUCGUUUGGGAAAUAGAAUUGAAAUGUUUCUCUUAUGUCGUAUCCUCUUGAAGUCUUUGUCCACAGGUACCUACUUUAACUCAAACAAACCAGGUUGGCUACAGAAACAAAAAAUGCGUCGGCGAAAGCAAAAACGCUGUCGUUUCAAACGAAUCGAAUAUCACACGUGCGGAAUCAUCCGCACCGUUAUUACCAACCUGACUGUCAAAAAUCAACGGCUCAGAUCCUUCAUUUAAUUUCGUCAACGCGUUCUUACCGUGGUAGCGACAGAGAUGACGUCUCCUUUCCAAAAGAAACUGUCCUCUCACGCGCUUAAAGUUCACGUGACACAAACACGCUCAGACAGAAGCUGGCUCUCUCCUUCUUACCCGACGACUUUUUAAACGACCGACCAGCUUUCUCUUCUACAUUACGGCACCACACACGACACACCUAUAUAAACCAAACCAACACUUUGAUCUCUUAAUCGGAUUGUGUGAAUCAGUUUGUCUUUUCUUGAUACCCUCGUCGAGAUUUCCUCAAAGGUCGGAGCUUUCAGGGUUUUAAAGGAUCGAAUUAGUUUAAAAGAUGGAGGAUGAUUACAAAACGCCGCGUUUUACGAUUGGUCGGCAGUCGUCGAUGGCGCCGGAGAAGAUCCCGGAGCCGUCGAUUCACUCGGAGGAGGAAGUGCUGGAGGACGGAGAGGAGAUCGACGGCGGUGUGAGGCUUAUGUACCUGUGUAACGAAGGCGACGUCGAAGGGAUCAAGGAGCUUCUCGAUUCGGGGAUCGAUGCUAAUUACAGAGACAUUGAUGAUCGGACUGCUCUCCACGUGGCGGCUUGUCAGGGGUUGAAGGAUGUGGUCGAGAUUCUUCUCGAUCGGGGAGCAGAUGUUGAUCCUAAAGAUCGUUGGGGAAGCACGGUGAGAAGAAAAACAAAACCUUUUUUAAUACAUUUUUAGAUCUCUCUGGUUUUGUUUGUGUAAUGAUGGAAUCUAAUACAUUUUGAUGAACGCAGCCACUUGCAGAUGCGAUAUUCUACAAGAACGUUGAUGUAAUCAAGAUUCUCGAGACUCAUGGAGCUAAACAUCCUGUAAGAAUGUGGUUUUGGUGUUUUGAUUGUUUCUCUUUAUUAUAUUUAUUCGUUAUUUGUUGACACUUUUUGUAUGUUAUCAGAUGGCUCCAAUGCAUGUGAAGACUCCUCGUGAGGUUCCUGAAUAUGAAAUCAAUCCUAGUGAGCUUGAUUUCACUCAAAGCAAAGAGAUAACAAAGGUUUUAAAACAUUGUCAUUAAUGGAUCUCUCUUACCGAUUGUGUUCAGCUCCUUUUACUGAAAACCUUCUUUGUAUUCAGGGAACUUACUGUAUGGCAAUGUGGCGUGGGAUUCAAGUCGCGGUGAAAAAGCUCGAUGAUAAAGUUUUAAGCGAUGAUGAUCAAGUGUAAGUGGGAAUAGUAUCUUGUGUAGAUAGUAAUGAGGUUUCAGAUUCCAAUUCUUUACCAUAAUCGUUUUGGUGCGUGUGCAGGAGGAAGUUCCAUGAUGAGCUUGCGUUGCUCCAAAGGCUAAGGCAUCCAAACAUUGUGCAGUUUCUUGGUGCUGUAACUCAAAGCAAUCCUAUGAUGAUUGUUACUGAAUACUUGCCUAGGGUAUGGACUUUCUCUGUUACAUUUCUUUUUUUGUUUUAUUUCGCUUCUCGAAACAAAGAUCUCAUUUUUGAUGAAACAUUCUUCAGGGAGAUUUGCGUGAGUUGCUCAAAAGGAAAGUACAACUAAAACCAGCAACUGCUGUUAGAUACGCCCUUGACAUUGCUAGGUAUGCGCGUUUUAUAAAUAUUUUAUAAAUGUUCUUAGGGAUUAUAAGAGUGUCUUCUUACCUUUUGGAUUCUUAUAGGGGAAUGAGCUAUCUUCAUGAGAUCAAAGGAGACCCUAUCAUCCACCGCGAUCUUGAACCUUCGUGAGUUUGCACUAUCCAUGUCUUUGGUCUUACCGUGGACAACAAGCUCUUGUAUUUUUCUGACAGUGGUAUAUAUAAUAUUUGCAGAAACAUAUUGAGGGAUGAUACAGGGCAUCUGAAAGUUGCCGACUUUGGAGUUAGCAAGCUUGUUACUGUUAAAGAAGACAAGCCUUUCACAUGUUUAGACACUUCUUGUAAGUUCUUUAUCUCUCACCCAUCUGCUUGGUCAAGAGUCUUGAUUAAUGUAUAUGUUAUGAUUUAAAUUUUAUUGUUGUUAUAUCCAAAUUAUAGGUAGAUAUAUUGCUCCUGAAGUUUUCACUAGCGAAGAAUACGACACAAAAGCUGAUGUUUUCUCCUUUGCUUUGAUCGUUCAAGAGGUAAGUUAAAACCCCUUUUUUAUUUUUAUUUUUGGUUUGCUCUUUACUGCUUUUUUCAUGUAGUUUAUUCCUUUAAAUGUUGGAUUUUUUUUUAGAUGAUAGAAGGAAGAAUGCCAUUUGCUGAAAAGGAAGACAGUGAAGCUUCAGAAGCUUAUGCUAGCAAAGAGCGGCCAUUGUUCAAAGCUCCAUCAAAGCUUUACCCUGAUGGACUUAAAACGUCAGUCUUACUCUCUCUCUUCACCAUCGAAACUGAAAAAGGACAGUUUUGCAUCAUAGAUUGGUUUAGUUCAUUUCUCACUAACCGGUUAGGUUCGGUCCGUUUUUUUUGUAUCCCAUAGGUUGAUAGAAGAAUGCUGGCAAGAUAAACCGGCCAAGCGACCUACUUUCAGAGAGAUCAUUAAAAGACUUGAGUCUAUUCUUCAUCAUAUGGGCCACAAGCGACAGUGGAGGGUACUACUGAGUUUGUUCUUUUGUUUGGUUUCUGGAUUUUGUUUAUUUAUGUCCUCUCUAACCUGUUUCUUCUUCCACGUUUUUAUAUCAGAUGAGGCCAUUGACAUGCUUUCAGAAUUUCGAGCACAAGAAGAAACAUAAUUGGGAUAUGAGCAGCCAUGACGGCUCAUCAUCCGGUUCACAUUUGUGAUUCUUUUAUCCGGCCUAAGAAAUGAUUCUUGUGUUUUCCUUCCGGUUUAGUUUGGUUUACCCCCCCCCCCCCCCCCCCCCCGAACAAACCCAUUUUACUUGGUAAUUUGUAAUUUUGUUCUACAUUGAAGAAAGUCUUCGUGUGGACAAGAUCUGCACUUUACUGUAGUAUAAAAAUUGCUGUAAAACCUCAGGAUAUAUUUGUUGUUCUAAUAUAAAAUUUCCAAAAUUUAUGAUUCUACCUUAUAUGAUCCUUAUUUCGAAUUGUAAGAAAUAUGAAAAUUGUUAAAUUUAACAAUUUUCAUGUGUUAUUAGCUUGAUUGGGAGAACUUGAAACUUGCAAGUAACUUCAAAAUCAGUAUGGUGCUCUUUUUUUUUCUGAUCUGCAGCUUUCUUCAAUAUGUACUUUUUGUGUUGUUUGCUAAGAAAAAAGAAUUGGGGUAUUUAUCAUAGGAUCUUAUGCGAGUGCGACUUUUAUAUCAAAACCUUAGUCUAAAUUUUGAACUUUAUACAAUUACACGAAAUUUCAUGUCUACCACAAAAGAAAAUAUGCAUCAAAAAUUAUGAAAACGCACAUAUAAUUUAUAUACAUUUCUAUGAGGGUCCCUACAACAGCUUCUUUAUUUGGAAACUGUAUUAUUUUGUUUUCGAUUGUAGGCAUUCAUUGCAUAGGUUAACAUAAUUUCAUAAUGGAUGAAUUUGAUUUAGCGGUUGAUUGGUUCUCUUAUAACAUUUUCUAUCACUUCGUACAAUUUUAAACCUUUAAAAAUAUAAAAUUAUUUAAAUUUAAGAUACAUAGAAUACUUUUAAAAAACUUAAAUAUCACAAUUAUAAAAUAUAUGAAUAAGUUUGAAACUUUCUAAUAAUAAUUUACUAUUAUCUAUAAUGAUUUAUAUUUAUAGUUUUAAAUAAAAACCGAUAAUUUAUUAUAUAUCAUUAAUAAUACAUGUAUAUCAAGCUAACUAUAUUUUUGUACUUUAACAUUAAUCUCCAUAAAAUAAGAACUAUAUCUCUAGUGCAAAGAAUCAUAGUUUCAGUUAAGUUAAAAAUAAAAGACCAUAAGUAUUAUACACAUAAUUUCAUUAUAAAAUAUAAUGGACUCAUAAUUUAGAUAUUUAUAAUAAUAAUAUAUGAUUUUGAUAUCUUAUAAUUAUAUGGUAUAUUAUUAAUUUAUUAUUUGACCGUUACUGUAUUUUAUAUUUAACUAAAAUAUCUCAUAAUCAUAUAUAUUUACAACUAUUGGACAAAUCAUAUAAAUUGUUUAAUGAUGUUUGAAAUUGUAAUUAUUCACUUCGGUAAAAUUUUGUAUUUUCCUUUAUGCGUUUAGACCAAUUAGAUCUCGAAACAAAAAGCUUUUUGAUUUUGAAAAGUUUGAAGUGAUACAAUAUUAAUUAUUAUCAAACGUUUACAAUCAUCGAUGAUAUUCAUAAAUACAGUUUUUUUACAUGUAUUGAAAACCAGUCAACCCCAUAAAACAAAACACUUGUUACUUAUUUACUUUGUAAAUAAUUGAACGACUUACAGAAUUGUGUAAAGAAAAAAAACUUGAAAGGGAUUAAAUUGUGGUAGAAAGCAACCUUUGAUUGUGGUCCAUCGUCGAAGAUACGAGAAGAUAUUAUGGUUUUUAAAACCCACUCCGAUCAUGAAAGCUUGACCCAAAGCAACCGAGUAGUUAACUUUUAUAAGCGACCUAAUAAAAUUAUCUACAUACAUGAUGUAAAACAUAUCUAGUUAUUUACUAAUUUAUAAUUUUAAUAGAACAUACAUCAAUCAAUUAUUUCACAUGCUAGCUAGAGAAAUAGAGAUGCAAUGUUUAAUUAAACAUUUCUUACCAAGUCUAUUUUAACUCUUACUAAAAUCAUAUAUUAGAGAAGGUAUCCUACUUAAGUUUGAAAAUUAUUAUAAUUAGGAGAUUGAAAAGGUACAAAGGAAACUAAAGCACCUUGCAAGUGGGUGUAUAUAGUUAUUCCAGCAUAAAUAUGAAUAUGCAAUGUAUAGAGAUUUCUUAUAUCUCUAUCAUAUUACCCUAAAUGGAUUCAUAAAGAUGGAGAUCAAAGACUACACAUCACAUGCUAUUCUCCAUCUUCUUUUGGCACAACCUUACUCCAUUUAUUCAUUGUGCUCCUCAGUUAUUCAAUAUAUUUUAUUUGAUCUCAAUAAACAACAAAAUUUAGAAAAACUACACAUUUCUUUUCCUCCACAUACACAAUAACUAUUUUCUUUAUUUUUUGAGACUAUACAAAGUUGAUAUUCUUGUCGUCCAAAAAAAGUAAUCGACGAUUAUUAAAAAAUGCUGUGGAAGAAAAUAGCUUUUGAUGAAACCCUUCAUACCGUUGGUAAAAACAAGAAAAAAUGUUAAUCCGUUUACGGAAACUAUUGUCUUUCAGGACUUAAGAGACUCUUAAACCUUUUGAACGAUUACAUAGACGAUUCGACAACCGAUAAUACUACCUGCCUUAUGAAGACCUACGUCUAACUGCAUCAUCUGAGCCGUUCUAUGAAGAUCCACGCAUGACCAGAUUUACUUGCACCAUGUUGAAGAUCCCUUGCAAGCUUUUCCUCUGUAGUCUGCAUAAUUGUUUAAUAAACCGCUUUCUCCGGGACUUGAAACCUGGAUUUCCUGUAAUCUGCAAUAAAUUGCAUAGUCUGGGAUUCGAACCCCAGACCUAGGUGUAGAAGCCUUUAAACCUUAACCAAUAGGUUACGGUGCUUCCACAAUUAUGAUCUAAUAAAUCAGCGUUAAAAAAAAAACUUUUGAACGAUAUUUCAGAAUCUUUAUUAAAUUAUGAUUAUAUGUCAAUUGUUAACCAUCUAACAGAAAUCAACGAACCAGAUUCCAACUCGAGUCUUUGACUAUUCUAUAUAUAUGUAUAUAAUGUCAAUUCGAGAACACAAAAAUUGAUACUUCUAGUUUCUGUUCCCAAAAACAUUUCCGUUUAAAUCAAUAGGAAAAUGCGAUAUCAGCAGAAACAUUUCCGUUAGCAUCGGUGAGCUAUAUCUUGAAGAACAAAGAGUCAAAAAAAGAAAAUGUAAAGAGAUAGUAGUUGGAGAUGAUAGAAAACGUCUGGUUACCUUCUAAUGGGGUCAGAAGCAUUACACUUAAAUAACUUUCCAAAUUAAGCCCUACGUCUUGUCCAGCCCCAUACAAGUACGGUUCAUCUCCCUAUUUCCCCUAUAAACCCUAAGACCUAUUACAUAUUUAUCUAAUUAAUUUAUCCCUUUAUGUUAAAUAUAAUGUCAAUAUCACAACAAGUAAACAUCAUCAACUCUAAAUCUCAAUCACAUGUAAAAAGUACGUUAAUUUUCUUCACAAUUGAUUAAUUUUCUCUUUUUUUUUCUCACAUCAUUUGAUUAUCUUUUUUUUUCCAGAAUUGGCGAUAAAUAUAUUGGUACUCACUAAUGUUCAGUUUAGCCAAAUAUAUGAAUGGUUACAGAAUAUUUCAUAUUUGUUACUAUUUAUAAACAAUCAGUUCAUAUAUAUAAGAAAAUAAACUUUAAAACAUUUACUUUCAAUUUGUUUUCAAAGAACAUUUAACUAUAAGUUUCUUUUAUUGGCAUACGUCGUUUUCUCUUCUCAUUAAACUGUUUAGCCUUUGGUUACUAUUCUAAAUACAUUUGAAAAAUACUCUUGCAAAAUGAUAUUUAGUAUAUCACAUUAGGAGAUUUUUCUACGAAUAUAUACAUGUAUAUAAUUAAAUAUAUUUACAACAUUUUUGAAAUAUGCAACUAAUUAUAAGUAGUAGAUAUAUGCGUUUACCUUGUUUAGUGGAACAAUUUUUCUGAAAAAUGUCAAUGAAAAACUUAUACAUCAAUUUUCAAAAAGAAUAAGUAACAUAACUGAUAUUUUUUUCCUCUUUUAAAGGGUCAAGAUUUAGUAAAAACAAAGAAGACGAUCAAUAUUUGUAGUAGCAAAAAAAUGUACUGAUAUUUACCCAAAGAUUUUAGGCCUCAAAAGCUUUCACAUGAAAAGAAAAGACAAGUAAUGGUAAGUAGAGUCGGUAUCUCAUGAGUGAUUGCCCAACUUGAACACUCUUUUCAUUUAGACCUUUGUGAAAGACCACACAAGAACUAUCCACCAACAAAACCGUCUAUUAAUUUUUCAACAGUUUCUCAAAUUGGGAUAUACCUUAAUAAGUAUUAUAUUUAUGAAAAGUCUAGACGUAUGUAGGGUGUUAUUUAUGGUAAUUAGACCUCUAUUUAUUAAUUAUAUUUUUCAUGUGAUUUCAAAGGCUGAUAUACUCAUGCUUCGUAUGAAGUGAAGCCUUUAGAUGUUCUUUGUUAUUCCUUUGUUUUUUUUUUAACUAAACAUAUCUAAAAUUUCUUUGACCAAAAAAAAAAAAUCCAAAUUUCUUUAAAUGAGUUACAUUUUAAAUUACUCUUACAAAAAUAUCAACCAAGUACCUACCUCUAGUCAACUUUGAAUUUUGAUAGUCUUUCACCAUACAUAUGUUUUAGAAAGUACAAUCCCCAUCACGCGUACUUAUCUCUCAGAGUUGAUUCAUAAAAUCAUGUUUUAGUGAGUAAAGAAACAGUAAUUACAUAUAUUGACAAGACACUAUAUGGAUGUGAAAAGUGGAAAAAUAAAAUGUUGAUAAAAUUAGAGAAAAAUAAAUCAAAGAGAAAUUAAUUAUUCCUUUAUAAAUGUAUAUACCCAUCUCUUCACCAGCACAACCUCACCCUUCCAUUUUCUGCAACUUCUCCAAAUCUCAUACUUUCCAGAAAAUCAUUUUCCCAAGAGAAAUAAAACUUUCCUCUUUGUUCAUCUCUCUUCCCCCCAACAGGUCAGUCUAAUAAUUUGGUGUUCCCCAAUCCUUUCAAACAUUAUCUUCUUCAUGAUAUUACUUUGCUUCACUUCUUUUGGUCCUUAUACCAAAUCUAUGUUCUUCUUUAGUUUCCUUAUUUCCUGUUUUAGUUUGAUUCUUUUAUGUUCUUUGAGAUAAACAAGAUCCAAUAUUCCUUCAUCUUCUUUGCUCUUCAAAAUUGUCUUUUCACACAAUCUAGAUUUAAUUGUUUCUUCCUACAAAAAAAAACCCAUGAUUGAUUAACUCUUGUUUGGAUACUAUGAAUGUAAGAUCAAUAGAACUAACUUCCUUUAUUUAUAGUUUUGUCGGCAAGAGAUUAAACUGAUGAAUUGUUCUGAUCUAACUUUUUGAUCUGAACCAAAAUUUCAAAAGAGUAUAAAACGUAACAAAACUGGACUAUGUUUCAAGAAACUGUGUUUAUGGGUUUCUUGGAUUCUUGAUUUUGGAUUAAUCAAUCUUGCCCUAAACUCUUUUUUUUUUGGCUUAGGAGCAGCAAACAUGGCUUACCAAAUGGAGCUAGGAGGAGAAUCCUCUCCACAAAGGAAAGCUGGGAGAGGAAAGAUCGAAAUAAAACGGAUCGAGAACACAACGAACCGUCAAGUUACUUUCUGCAAACGCAGAAAUGGUUUGCUCAAGAAAGCUUACGAACUCUCUGUUCUUUGUGAUGCUGAAGUCGCACUCAUUGUCUUCUCUAGCCGUGGCCGUCUCUAUGAGUACUCAAACAACAGGUAUCUUCUUUCUGAUCUGUUCUUAAUUAAAAUUUUUAAUAGAUCAAUUACUUUAAGAAUUUUUAAUAGAUUAAUUACUUUAAGAGUCACCGUGUUAGGGUUAUGUUAGUGGUCGAAUCUUUACUAGGGUUCUUGAUCUUCUAUGCUUGAUUUGAUUCGAUUCUUCUUUGAUGGGCAUAAUCCCUCUUGCGUGUCGAUUAACUAUUUUUCACUUUUUUCUUGACAUUCCAUUUUUAAACACACACUAACACACUUAACACUUGUGAGAAUUUUUGUUGGUACUUAUGUUUAUGUUAAUUAUACUUUGCGAUUUUAUUCAUAGAUUUUGUACUUAAUUAUUAUCUAGAUCUGGCUUCUUCUUCAUGUGUCUCUUUUCCCUUUAUUAGACUAAAAAAUUAUUCCUUAGGUAAAACUUGUUAUCUAUUAAGUGAUGAAAAUGGUACAAAAGUUAUGGAGAUCUGAGUGAGUGUUAGAUAAUAAAUGAAAAAAUAAGAAAAAAAAUCAGAGUUUUUCUAAUGUGGAGUUUUAGAUUCAGUUUUGUAGAACUAAGAUUCACUUUGUUGGGGUUUCUUUCAUCACUCCUUUCUGUUAUAUAUAAUAUAUUAUAACUUUCUAUUUUCCCUACUAACAAGUACUCCAAGAUUUAGAUAUAUUUUUAGAUCUGGUGUUGUAAUGGGUAAAAUCUUGAUUUUUAUGACUAUAAAAGUAAGUUUUGGGAAACAAUUUGAGAGCGUAAGGACUAUGAGGUCAUAUCUUCUGUUUUUGUGAUCAUAUACCCAUCCUCCAUUGUUGCUAAUGUCUGUGUCUCUCUUUCCCUUCUCUUCUUUCUCUUACUUUCCUUUCUCAUCUUUGCCUCUUUUCUCUCUCAUGAAUUAUCAUAUGUGAUGCAACAACAUGUGAUGGUAUGUGCGAGUAAAUAAGGUGAAAGAUAUUGAUUUUUGAGUGUCCAAAAUUUUAAAUUAAUUAGUGCCAGAAAUAAUGGAAAGUACAAGUAGGACAAUAUGGUUUUUGUCUUGGUGAAUGUUAAGUUUUAUUUAUUUUGCAGUUAUGGAAAAAUAUCAAAUAUCUUUGAGCUUAGAUUAGUUAGAAGUGGUUAUAGCUAAAAGAAAAAAAGUUUUUCAACUCCAAACAAUACGAAAUUUCGAUUUUCAGUUGGAGUUUUAAGAUUUAAAAUAAGACUGGCAGUCUCUAAUCCCACACGUAAUUCCCAAUAUUUGUUAGAAUCCACGUGAUUUUCUCUUCUCUCAAACAUAAAACAUGUCAAAAGUGAAUGCUGUAAACAAAGUCUUGUUUUCCUAAUAGCUUACAGUUGUCAACUCAUGUCCAAAGAAAGAAAAGCUAACAAAGACUUCUAAGCUGAACGUACGUUUCAUAUAUUCUUGUUUUCAAGAUUUUUUACCUUUAUUUAGAGGUUAGUAUUGAGCGCAAUAUUAGGUUUGGCCUCUGUAAGAUUUGUUGUCUUUGUUACAGAAUCUUUGAUCACGUCAUCCCUCAGAUAUUAUUUACUUUUAUUUAUCACUUAUAUUUAUUAAUAGUAUAAAGUUUUGAUAGUUUCAGUUCUUGACUUCUGACAAGAAGGUUAUGUCAUCAUGAAUUACUUGAUAAAUUCGAAAAUCUCAUAUUACUACUUUUGACCAUUUAAUACUAGAUUUCACAUUUGGUCAAUACCUAAUAUAAUUAUCCCUCCUGAAGAAAGCCAAAUCAGAAUUCAAUUCACAUUAUGUGUACAUGUACACAAAGAGAUAAAUAAUAAAAGGAUAUACUUAAUAUUGUUUCAUAGUUCUACGAAUCUUAAAAAAGAUUAAUGACCGCUGAAUCAGUAACUUUGGUAUAGAAGAAGCUCGUUGGGGUUGCUUCAACAUCUUUGCUGUAGAUACAUUUGUGCAAUUUCAUUUUCUUUGUUUUUGAAUUAUUUUUUGGUCUAAGGAGAGAAAGUUAGGGCUUUUCUCAUUUUCUUUCUCCUAUGGGCAGAGAAAGUCUUUUGAAUAAAUAAAUAAAUAAAAUGAAACUUUUUGUGAUGUCUUCUGUGAUCCUAUAAUGAACGGCUAUGGAUUCUCCAUCGAAGGGUCAGGCAUCAUAAUUUAUAAUAUGCCAUUGUACUUAAUAAUAUGUAUAUGUGUAUGUAUUAAUGCAUCUGUAUACUUACAGAAGACUCAGAAAAAGAUAAAUGGGUCGAAUAGUAAUUGAAUGAUAUUCCAAAUAAGGAAAGUAUGGAACGUUGUGAUGUUACUCGGACAAGUCAUUUAGUUACAUCACAAUUAAAUUAAUCCGAUGGUUAAGAACUAUAAACUAUCAAAUGUCUACUGGAUUUACCAUUGUGCAAUGGGUUUUCGACACGUGUAGAAAACCCUAGACAUGUUCAGACCAAUCAUGUCACUCAAUUUCGCCAGCAUGGAAGUUGUAGCCAAUCACUAGCUCGAUAAAUUUAAGGUUUCAGUAAAUGAUUCUUUAUUUGUUACAACUUUGAGGAAUAUUUAAUCAACGGUAAUUUAUUUCUUGUAUCUACUUUUUUCUUUACAUCAUGUCACGUUAUGUUUCAUUUUGUUCUGACUCAAGAGAACCGAUGUUUGCUUUUAAGGUUUCGUAUUAAAAUCACUCAACUGAGCAAGUGGAUGAUUUGACCCUUAGUUAUUUUUCCAUAUUUUUCGAAUUGGUGACUUUAGUUUUGAUUGUAUAGUUAAUACUAAUUUUUCACAAAAAAGAGAGUUAAUUCUAAUCAACUUAUUUAUUCCACUGCAAAAAUGUUGCAGUGUAAAAGGGACAAUUGAGAGGUACAAGAAAGCAAUAUCGGAUAAUUCUAACACCGGAUCCGUGGCAGAAAUUAAUGCACAGGUAACUUAAUAUUACAAGUACGAUUUUAAGUUUUCCAAAAACUUAUGUGCUAAUAUAAAUGCUAACACUUCCAUACCUCACUCUUUUUCAAGUAUUAUCAACAAGAAUCUGCCAAAUUGCGUCAACAAAUUAUCAGCAUACAAAACUCGAACAGGUUAAUAUCUUUUAAAUGACUUGAGAUGCUUUUUGAUUAAUUCAUUAGUACGCUGGUAUGAACUAUCUCAGAUAUCAAUACUUUUUGUAAAAUUAAUUAGGCAAUUGAUGGGUGAGACGAUUGGGUCAAUGUCUCCCAAAGAGCUCAGGAACUUGGAAGGCAGAUUAGACAGAAGUGUUAAUCGAAUCCGAUCCAAGAAGGUAACUGUAUUUAAUUAAUUAAUGCUUCAAAGUCAAUUCAUUUACUAGGACGUUUAUAUAUUCACUUUUACUAAAUUUUUUUUUUAUAGAACGAACUCUUAUUCGCCGAAAUUGACUACAUGCAGAAGAGAGUAAGAAACCAUAUUAUAUCUACUUUUCUUUCCAUUGUUAAUUUGUAUUUAUGGUAAUUUGGCUCAUUUGUAAAGUCUGUGCAGGAAGUUGAUUUGCAUAACGAUAACCAGCUUCUUCGUGCUAAGGUAUUUUGUACAUUUGUCUGUUUUUGCGUAUUAUUUUAUUAUAACAUCAACAAGGUUAUUGGAAUGAUUAAAUACUAACCAAAUACAUGUGCGUAAAUGUGUAUAUAUAUAUAUAGAUAGCUGAAAAUGAGAGGAACAAUCCAAGUAUGAGUCUGAUGCCAGGAGGAUCUAACUACGAGCAGAUCAUGCCACCGCCUCAAACGCAACCUCAACCGUUUGACUCACGGAACUAUUUCCAAGUCGCGGCAUUGCAACCUAACAAUCACCAUUACUCAUCCGCAGGUCGCGAAGACCAAACCGCUCUUCAGUUAGUGUAAGACAACAAAAAUUGUUAUAUAAAUAUUUCUAGGCAUAUAAAUUUGAUCUUUUUGUUUCAUGUACUUUGCAGGUAAUAUUGGCUGAAGCAUGAAGGAGCAAGGACUGAAUAAAAACCAGAACUGGGUUAAGGAACGAGCGAUAUAAAGCUGAUGCACUGUUAUAAAAAUAUUUAUAUAUUUAUUUCACGAAUGUUGUGUCCAUGCUUUCUACAUUUUAUUUAAAUUGCUUAUGUUGAUGUGAAAUUAAUAUCUUAAAAGACAUGUGAUUAAUGUGCUUUAAUUUGUUUCAAAGACAAGUGUAUGUGUGUGAGUGUAUUAUUAGCUUAAUCGUUGUACUUGCCAAUACAUGCCAUACUAAUGCUUCUUGUGGUUAUCUUAUAAAAAAAAAGUUAUCAAUACGAAAAUGAUUAUAAAUAUCAGCUCAGGAUUGCAUGUUAGUAUUUUGAAUAAUUGAGUCAAAAAUUGUGUAAUUGUCAUCUCCUUCAGUAACGUCAGCCGUUCCUCUCGAGACAGAAACACAUCAUGUUUCUCAUCCUCUAGAACCUGUGGGGGAGCUCCAUGCUCGGUUCCUCUCCUUCCCUUUUGGUAUAUAUUAACUCAUUCUGGAUCUCGAGAACAUUGAUGGCUGUACCAGAAAAUCGUGCUCACCAUCAAGCUCAUUUACCAAGCAUUUCUUUUAUCCUAUUUGGAGGGAAUGCAAUAUCCAGCAGCUCCGUCGCUAAGAAUCUCAAACAUCGGUUGUAAGGUGGCGUAUAUGCGCGGACAUAUAAUGAACAUGCUUUGAUCCAUUGAUUUUGACUCAUCUAUCACUGCUACAUACUUUGUAGACACCUACUUAAUCAUAUACAAGGUUUUUGUUCCUUUUUUUUAUUAACAAGCGGUGAUUCAGACUGAAUCUCGAUGAAAAAAAAAUAUCAAUGAAUCCUUUUCGCGAUACCCAAUAACAUGGGUGUUAACCUGUCCUCCCAGCGAGAAUCAAACUAGAAGCACAAUAGAUUAUACUCCAAUCGCUAAACCAUUAGUUUGGUAGGUUUUUGUUCUUCAACCACAAACGAAACUAAUUCUAAAUCCAACAUCUUGGUGAAGGUCCAUCUAUCCUAAAAAUCAUCCCAUUAAUAUUUAAUAUCAUGUUCAUGCCAUCCAAUUUUGUGUUACCUUUACACUAAAUCUUGCACACUUUCGGCACAGCAAUACAAAUUAUGUCCAAAUUUGUAUUGUUGUAAGGGUAAGACCGUAAUUAACAAGAUAUAGCCAGACCUUCUGAAACAAUCAGAGCCUCCAACACCGAUCAGAGCUUCCUACUUCCUAGUGCUUCUAUAUCAGCUUAUACACAUAAGAUAAUCAGAGAUGAAUGAAAUCAUAAAGAAACUAAACUAAGAACAAUUUCAUAUCAUUAUAUAGAACAAUGUUACAUUCACUUCACCAAAAAAAAAUAACAACAAUUCUUCUGCAUAAAAAAAAACAAGAACUAUCAAACACUUAUAUAAGCAAAAGUGCAAAGAUUAAAUCUCUGUCUUUGUCUCUUCGUUUGUGUGGAGUAAAUUUCAUAAAUUAGAGCAUAGGAAGCUGCUUGAAAUCAUAAGGAUGAGCAUCAGAUGCAGAUUCUCUCCUAAGUAUGUUCACCACUUGUGACACAAAUGUUCACGUGAUUUUCCACUUGCCCUGCAAAUAUUAUUAUAGCUCCCUCAACCAAAAAAGUUGGAAAGAGAUUUAUGUUACCUCGUUAAGAAACUCAAGCCUUAAUGAUACAUAUCAUUCUGUUUAAGGAAUGGCUUACCAACUGACGGCCGGUUUCUUCUCGAACACCAGCAGCUGCAGAAGCGUAGUUUACUCCUCUCAUGAUGUCUUCUCCUCUUGCUUGUGCAAUACAUGGUGUAAUGUAAGUCAUCGUAGCCAAGAAGCUCGGCUUUUUAAUUUCCCACCAAAAGAGAAAAUAAAAUGUUAUUUUGUUUUGGGCAGAAGAAGAAUAUAAACAAAACAUAACAGAAGAAAUUAAGGUGUUUAAAUAAGAUUACCGAUGACAUCGACGGUGGUUUUCCCGUUGCAGAAUCUGUGCUCUUGCUAAGGAUUGAAGCUGAUUGUUAUUUCCACUAUCAACGAAAGAAUUACUGAAUAUGAAGUAACAUGGUGCUAUAGGCUCACCUAUAGAGCCAUGCUCAAGACCAUAGCUACCAUCAUCAUGUUAGAGAGAUAAUGUGCUAAGAAGAGGAGAGAGAUUGGUUAGAGAACGUGACGAAUGUAAAUGGGUGUACAUAAUAAAACGUCAUGAGAAUGUGGAGGGAAUGAGAAAAGAGCAAAAUAGAAGCUUUGAGCUUCUGAUGGUUGAAGAAGCAUUAAAUGUCACGCUGAGAUGAUGUUUGUGUACAACUGUUUUAAGUAUGGAUCUGGGAGACAGAAAGAAAGAGUGAAGCAGAGUUAAUAAUACUCUGUUGCGACAGUACAAACCAACUUGUAUGUAAUUGAUAAUAUUCUGUUAUUAUAGUUUGCCAGAAAAAAGUUGAGGGAUUGUUGAUGUUUUCUUUAAAGGAUUAGAUAUUUGAGAUUUGAAACCAAGACUGAGAUUGGGAGAACGACUAAGGUAAUAUUUCACCAUUUUAGCUUAUUGUGCUACUGUGCCAAGAGAUGAGACAAUGGUUUGGUUUUCUUAUAGAUGGCAACAAACUGUAAACAAAGAUUCAACCUUAUUGUGCUAAGUAGUCACCAAAAGCAUUAAUAAAGGGUUGGUAAGUGCUUUAAUACCAACCCUAUUGUUGUUAUACUGUGUCUGAGAGAUUUUGAUCCAUAGAUUAUAAAUUACAAUCAAGACAAAGAUGUAUUUGGGGGGUAAUAUAUACAUAUACACGUGCGUUUAUGAGAAUGUAAUCAACCUUCUUCUUCAGAUGAAUAUCUUUUAACUCUAACCCUUUCACCAUUGAAGUAGAUGUAUUUGUAUUCAGAGAGGUACCUCCUAAGUAUCAGUUCCUGCUUUUCUUCUUGCCCGAGCUCCCUGAAAGCCCGUGCCACUCUCCUCGCUGUAUCUUCGUCCGGCCUCACCUUUAGCUCCUCCAUGUCUGCAAACACCUGCAAGACAGAACAUUAAAACGAGUCUCAAAGCAAGCUUAAUGAGUAUCUACAGAGUAACAUCCUAUACCUCGAUAACCUUGUGUUGAAGGUCAUGGUGCGCAUACAAAGCAAUCAUCCUAGCAAACAAGCGUCUCGGGAUAGACCUCGUGUGCGUGUGCAGGAUCAUGUUCCAUAAGGAUUCUGCCUCAUCAGCCCUUUCGUCCAUAUCAAAUGCCAACAAGAGGGUAUCGUAUGUUCCCAUUGUAGCGCCUUGGCCUUUGCUUAACAUCCACUUAGCCACCUGGAGUUUUUAUUUUUCCCACUAAACCAAAAUCAGCUCAUGGUACCAUCUAUAGCAAAACUUUGCAUUUGAGGAAUAUGACGUCAUGUUACUUACUUGAAUCACACGGUGCCAUUGGCUUCUCUUCCUUAAGAUCUGCAAAGCCUUAGCUGCAGCAACGAUGGGAAACUCAACCUCCCAAGCUACCCAUUUGUUUAAAGCUCCAUAAACAGCUUCUUUAUCAUUUGGGAGUCCAGAGAGCUGCCGGUUGAGAGUUAUAAAUCAGCAAAGACUACUUCAAAUAACAUAUGUUUUUUUUCACUACUUACCAUUCGGACAAGAUUAAGUGCUUUCUGUCCGGAGCCAGCAGAGUCAUUUUUCUUCCACAGAUGAUGCUCGUUCUUCCCCACUUUCUUUACCUCCUUCCUACAAAUAACCACACACACAAACAAAAACUUACUAACGGAACAAUCACGACAAACAACAUCAACUUACUCAAAAAGAGAUAUAGAAUCAGACAAUAAGUUAAAACUACAAAUAUAUUCACUUUGUGUAACGCAAAUAACAAACCUCUUCACAAUGGCUCCAUAACUUCCCUUCACCUCUCCGGCUUGUGUCUCUGAGAACUUGUAAACAAAAUGCACAAUUAUGAAAUGUUGUGUUUUAAUAACACCGGAACCAAGUUUUAAAAGCUAAAGAACAAGAAGUAGCCAUUAAAGAUUACGUUUUUACCUUUGCCCUGAUGCAAAGACCAAACCUUUUCGCCCUCAAACAACUUGGAGAUUCAAGAAACGAAAAGCUCGAAAUUUUCUGGGAUUUCUGCAAUUGGGAGGAGACAAACAAACAUCUGAUGUAACUAAAUAGAUACAGUCUGAAAUUGAAAUGUCCAAAGGAGGAACUCACUGAUAAUUCUUGCAACGGGAAUCUCACGAGGAUUGGAUUAAAGUUGCAAAGCGCCAUUCACUGUUCCUGAUGCUUCACUUCCAUUACCACAGUCUCUGGGUAGAUGAUGUUUAGGGAUUUGUUUUUGGUAAGCCGAGGAAUAUCGGUUUAGCCAAUUCAAUUACUAAACCGACUAAUAAACCGAAUUAAUUUUUGGUUGAAACCUCAGGUGAGAUAUGUAAUUGGGCCUUUACCGUAAAGAUGGGUUUUAUUUGGACAAAGAGAGACAAACAAGUGAUCCCAACCCAGUCUUUUAAAGUUUUGGAACUCUUUUUUUUCUUGUAAACAUGUUAAGAUAAGUUUUGGAACUUUAAGUUGAAGAAUGUUUAAAUGGAUAAUUGGCAAUUCUUAGCAAGACGAGAUCAAAAGAACUCUUAACAAAAUUAACAUCAACGUCGAUGUGAUUAAGAAGGUCCCGUACAAUAUUGAACUAAUCAGAAAAACAACACCUUAUCUCUAAACUAAUCAAGUUCUGCCCCGGACUGUCUGCUUCAUGCAUGAGCUGACUAGAAAGUUACGUCCAUACCGUUAAAACAAUGGUUUCACUAAUUUUUAUAUAUAUAAUAUAUUAAUAUACUUAUAUACAUAUAUAAAAUAUGUACCGAGACCACAGUGCAUGAUUCGUAUAAUUAGCAAAAUAGUUUAAAUUUUAUUUAUGUAUAUAGAGAAAGUUCCAAAAUUGUGACCAAUAAUUGAGAACAAAAGAAGAAAGACGGAACAAGACACACCUUAAUACAAGAGUAUCCAACAUCUGAAAUGGUCGAAGGGACCACUAGGAGUAGGAACCACACUAUAGUCCAAAGAUAUCCGAAAUUUUGGCUAAGUCGCUGUCUCUAGCAUGAGACACUGUAUGCAUCUAUCAAACAUCCUAAUUCGUCCAGUGACCAAUUCGCUCGACUCUACUUUUUUCUCCAUUUCAUUGUUUCUUUUCAGUUUAAGAUUGUCUAGUAGGACAUGCACAAAGUUUUAUUUCACUUCAUUGUCCAGUUUUGUGUGAGCAAUGAUGCAUUUACCAUGCUUGUUUACUCUAAACACGUAAAAAAACGUAUACGUUACUACUCAUAUAGAAUUCCAUAUUAGAACAUCUUCAAUAGAGCAAUAUUUUUCUUUUAUAUUUUCUUAUAAAAUAGAAUAAUUCUACUAUAGAGUUACAUUUGUUCCAAUGGUGUAUAACUCUAUAAAUUACUUUAUUAUAGAGUAAAAAGAAAUUCAUGUAUAUUGAAACUUUAUAAUAGAUUAACUCUACACCAUUAAAAUAAAUUUCUCUAAUACUCUAUUUUAAAAGAAAAUAUAGAGGGAGAAAUAAUGCUCCAUUAGAGAUAGUCAUGUAAACGAAACAUAGAUCAAGAAUUUGUAAAAACAUUACUCAAGGUACAUGUAAACUUAUCUCAUCCUUUUUUCAGGAAUUGUUUUCUCACCAUAAAAGAUUUUCGUUAUAAUCAUUAGAGAUUUCAAAAACUUUUACUUGAUAUAGUACUUUCUAAAAUACCACUCAAUACAUGUAUGAUUUACACUAAAACUUAAUACUUUUCGUUUUGUUUUACGCCUAAGAUUAUUUUAUCUUAAUUUGAUAAAGUUAUAAACUUAUAAUCGAACAAUCAAACUAUAAAUCGACUUUAGUUAAAUCCUAUUGUAAAGUUGACCUCGGUUGAGGGUUCAACUUAUAAUCUGUAUGAUCCCUUAUAUAUUAAAAGAGAAGCAUUAUAAUAAAUGCAUUCACAUUAUAAUAGACACGUGGCAGCCUCACAAUGAUUUGAUAAUAAAUAUGUUAAACGCGUUCACACUAUAGUCAUAAAUGUGUUCACACUAUGUACUUUGUGAUUUUUUUAAUAUAAAACUCACAUACAUAGUUCCAAUAAAACUCUGGAUUUUUCGGUUCGAAUAAAAAUAGAUAACGAAUCAAAAGCCAAACUAUAUAUAUAUUAUUUUUAUUGUUUACAGAUAAAAUUGAGCAAAAUAUUCAUAAAUUUUGAUUCGAUUUGUUAUCCGUUUUGAUUUGAACCAAAAAAUCUUGAUAUUUGAAACUUUACGAAACAAAUCAAAUACUAAAAUACAAUAUCCAAAAAAGAAGCAAAUCACUAAUACCAAUAUUUUUAGGAACAUAUAUCUAAUUCGAUAUGUUAUAUGCAUAUAUAUACAUAUAUGAAAAGAAUUAUAUAUAUUAUACUUUAUAUCAGUUUUACAAUAUAAAUUUAUUAUAUUAGGUACUAAAAUUAAAAGGUUAUAUAAUGUUUUAUUUUUUGUAAUAAAAUGUUAUUAUAUUAUUUUUAAAAUUUUAUUUUAUUUACGAAUCAAAUCGGAUAUUCUUUAAAAUUCUAAAACAUUUCGGAUAUCGGAGUCACCGAAUAUCUAGGUAGCUAAAGAUCGAAUUGACAAGAAUGCUUCCAAAUAUCCAGAUACUUGAUAUGUGUCCACCCCUAUUUACGAAUAUAAUUUUAUUUUCUUUUGAUGAAAAAAUGACUAAUGUCAAGGUCUUUUUUAUUUUAAAUAAAUUUUAAUUUUAUCUUUCAUGUAUUAUUCUGAACAAAAAUGUCAUUUAAUAUUAAUUAACAAUAUCUUUAUAUAUUUUUCAACUAUUUUUAUAUACUUUUUACAUAAACAUACAUGUGCACCUUGAUGUGAGCAUCUUAUAACUAAGUAUUCACCACAGCUGAAGUAUCUAAUUUUUUUGAAAGUUGAAAUAUUUUUUCUUAAUGUUUCUUUCACUACCGACCAAAUUGUAGUGAAAUGAUUUGUCUUAAUAAUUUUCUUUUCUUUUUCUUAAACUAUUAUCUGUUUAAAAACUAUAAUAUGAAACUAUUGGUUCGACAUGACAACUAUCUAAACUUCAUAAUAUGAAAAUAAACAUAUAACAUUAAUUUUAGGUUUUUAUCCGAAAAAACCAAAAAAUCAAAUGUUUUAACCGAAUAAACUAAAAUGAAUAUUAAUUUAAAAUAAUAGUUAUAUUUUAGAAGAUUAAAAACAAAAAAAAACGUAAAACCUAACCAAUAUCCAGAUUAAACAGAUUUAUUGUCUUUUUUAUUAAAAAUAACGAAACUAAUAAUCACAUCCCGCGCAAGGCGCAGGUUAUUACCUAGUACAGUAUUAUGAUACAAUCAUUUUCAGUAACCCUUUUUGUUAUAUGUACUCCUCAAUUCAUGUCUUAAUCGCUAAUAAUUGUGAGUCAAUUAAUGAAAACUUGCUUUUGCGACAACUUCACGGAUAAAGUUGUUUGUCAAGAAAGUAUUUUAAAAUUGCAUUAACAGCAAAUCUGAAAUUUCAUUUUGCCUUACAACAUCUCCAAACAUACUCUAUAUUUUGAAGUUUACAAAAAUCUAUAUUUAAAGUUUAAAGCUGUUAUUCUGUAAAAUAAAAACUUCAAAUUUAAUUUUUUUUAUACUAUGUUCUUUAUAUUUAUCAUAAUUAUUCUAAAUUUAUAAAAGUUUAUAAAUAACUAGCACAUAUAAUAAAAUUAUCACAUCAAUAUUAGUUAAUAAAAUAUUACACCAAUAUAUAAAAUUAUAAAUAUAAAUACAUUAUUAAAUAUUAACUACGAAUAAAAUACUACACUAUUUCAUAAAAUUAAUACUAUAAUGCUUUCCAUAUAUAAUCAAUUAGUGCAUUUCAAAGUAAGGAAUGAUUUUUUAUAUUUUUAAUUUUUUGAUUACGAACUAAAAAUUGUUGAAAUCUGGUAUCCUCAUUUUUUGUCAUAUGAUCAAUUAUGUCUUUAUGUACUUUUUUAAAAAAAAAAAAUUUCAUCAAAUGUCUAUAAAAAUAAUUGAAGUUUACAAAAAAAAUUUGGAGAUAAAAAUGUGUGUUAUUUUGUGGAAAUACUAAAAUAACUAUUCAUAGUAUUUCCACAAAAUAACACACAGUCACAUUAGUUAUUUAUCUUGAGUGUUAUUUUUUUUGUGAUAUUUUGUAAGUUUCACUUCAUUAAGCAUCGACGUCAAUAGGUAAUCAAGAAACAAAAAAAAUUAAGAUGAAAGAAAAUAAAAACAGAAGACUUUUUAAGCCACAUUGAUCAUUUCUCCUUUUUCUUCUCCGAAAGCAACAAAUUAUCGGCCGUUAAUUAACGCCGCCACGUAAUGCUAAGGUGAACGACCGAAGUUCUGGAAAUGAUAUAAACACACGCUAGCGAAAGCCUGGUUACGUUUAACUUUGGCUGACGUUAAGACAGUCUUCGACACGUGGUGGCGCUCUAGUGGGUGUUCUUCAUCUGUUUGAGAUUAUGCGGUGUUUAGUGUUGAGCGAGUAACCGCGUAGCCGCCAAACACGCGACGAUUGCGUACAGUAGCGUUACACCGACUCAGAUUCACAAUCAUUAGUAUUCUUUUUUUCUUCCAACCAUUUUAUUUUUUAACCAGGAAUAAACCUAAUUAAAUUAUCUUCAUACAUGCACGAUAUUUUAACCAGGAAUAAACCUAAUCAACAGAUGAAUUAGUAGACAUACAUGCACGAUAUUUUAAUAUUUACGAAAAUGCAUUAACAUAUAAGUUUUAACUUAAAAUGUAAAAUGUAAAGUUGUAAACGUGAUCCAUAAUUUUGACCUGUAAGUUUACCUAAAUAUUUUAUUGAUUCUUUCUCCAUUCAUUUGAAUAUAAGAUAUAUGUAUUUGAACUUAAGUUUUACCUUUUAAAAUUUAAAUUCAUAUAUCAAAUAUGUAGAAACAAAUAAAUAAAACAUAUAUUGGAGAAUUUAUUCUGUUUUUUUUAUAAUCAUGGAAUUUUAAAGUUGUCACUAAUUACGUACCAACACCAAAUUAUCCCAUUAUAUUGUAGCAAAAAUGAUGUGUAAGUGUAUAUAAAUACUUGUGUAAUCCUAUCCUUAAUGAUUAAUUAAUUAUUACAAAUAUCGAAUCCCUUGAUUUCACUCAAACACGUUCACGAUGGCGUCAUCUGAUGCAACACAAGAUAUUAAUACUUACACGUAUAUAUACACACACAUAAAUACAUAUAUAUACGUGUUACGUGUAAAACAUGAGAUUCUAUUUGCGAAGUCUUGGUCUAUAUAAGUUCCAACUUUUCUCACAGUUGUGUCUUCUUUUCCUACCUCGCCGCUCUUCAACCAAAAUAAUCCCUAACUUUUGCUGGUAUAACUUUUUCUUUCAAUGUCAGAAGAAUUUCAAGAAUCCGAGAUUACAUUUUCCGAUGAAUAUUUCAUGAGUAACAACGUCAAGAGUAGCAACAAAGAAAACACCAAAAGACAGCCGAUGGCCACGGAGAAGAAGUCAUCUCCGGUGAGAAUUCCGUCAAGAACUAUUUUACCGUGUACGGUUGAGGAUGAGGAUGAGGAUGAGGAGGAGGAGGAGAAGGAGAGUAUAACUCCUCCACAUGUCAUAAUCGGAAAACGAAGAACGGAGGCGCAAAUGGCGUUUUCCUUCUGUACCCUUAAAGGAAGAGACUUAAGUCGUCACCGGAACUCCGUUCUUAGGAUGACCGGUUUUUUGGAAGUUUAAUUGUUCCAAAUUAAAAUGAGAACCGAUCUGGUUUAGAUUGCUUUUAUUGUAUCUUUGUAUAAAACAGCUUUGAAGUUAACCGAAUGGAAACACAUUUUUUUUUUAAUAUGGUGAAAGAAAAGUUUAGUGUUGGGAAUAAUCUUCCAUUAUUUAAUAUUGUAAGAUGUUAACUUAAUAAUAACAAUUUCAUGUUAAAUUAUUGUUUGGUUUCUUGAGAAGAGGAAAACCAAUAGAAUAAAAUCUUAAGUUAAUUCGAGUUAUGCUAUAUGAGUUUGCUUUGUGAAGUAAUUGGUUUCUUGGCUUGUAGAUCUUGUAUUUGGUAGUUGAUAAAAAAAACCUUGUAUUUGGUCCACAUUCAUGGGGUUCUGGCUAACAUGAGCCUUAAUUAUAAGCUUUGUUUGCUGAUAUCUUGCAUAUUUGCAUUGUUUUAUCCAUUCAUCCAUGAGCAUUUUCAUCAUAUAGAUUAGGAUUCAGACAUGUUUAGGUUGCAUUUUGCAUACAUGAGUCUCUAUUAGGUACUGGAGUACCACAUGAGGUUAUUUGGAGCUCAAAAGAGGUGAAA